CCUCCCUUACAAGGAGG
rnacentral:misc_RNA from 1 species